rnacentral:rRNA from 1 species
GAGUAAAGCGGCUAGCUUUUGCUGGUCGCUGGCUUCUUAGAGGGACUAUCGGCUCAAGCCGAUGGAAGUUUGAGGCAAUAACAGGUCUGUGAUGCCCUUAGAUGUCCCGGGCCGCACGCGCGUUACACUGACAGAGCCAACGAGUUCAUCACCUUGGCCGAAAGGCCUGGGUAAUCUUGUUAAACUCUGUCGUGCUGGGGAUAGAGCAUUGCAAUUAUUGCUCUUCAACGAGGAAUGCCUAGUAAGCGCGUGUCAUCAGCACGCGUUGAUUACGUCCCUGCCCUUUGUACACACCGCCCGUCGCUACUACCGUUGAAUGGCUGA